AUAGGAGUAGUUCAGUUGGUAGAACGCUGGUCUCCAAAACCAGAUGUCGGGGGUUCAAAUCCCUCCUCCUGUGCCA
rnacentral:tRNA from 1 species